rnacentral:rRNA from 1 species
UACGUAGGGUGCAAGCGUUGUCCGGAAUUAUUGGGCGUAAAGAGCUCGUAGGCGGUUUGUCGCGUCUGCUGUGAAAACUCGGGGCUUAACCCCGGGCCUGCAGUGGGUACGGGCAGACUAGAGUGCGGUAGGGGAGACUGGAAUUCCUGGUGUAGCGGUGGAAUGCGCAGAUAUCAGGAGGAACACCAAUAGCGAAGGCAGCUCGCUGGGACGUUACUGACACUGAGGCGCGAAAGCGUGGGGAGCGAACAGG